ensembl:lncRNA
AGGGAUAUAUAUUUGUUUUAUUUAAUAAUGGUAAUCUGAGCACAGUUUUGACACAUUGUUAAGAUAUUUGGAUACUCUAACAGAUAUAUAUGUGUAAUUCCCUGUGUCUUUUUCUCAACUACAAGUAAACUAUUUGAAGGUUGUUUCCAUCUGAAAAGUGUAUACACUAUAGCAACAGCUCAACCAAUGGUGUAAGUGGGUGGGCUAUCUGUUUGACCAAUGACAGAUGUGUGGAUUAUUUGGGAAACCUGUCUGAUAACAAUUAAGUUUUAGCAAUUCAAUCAACUUUCAACCAAAAUCUCACUUGGCUCUCCAUUUUGUCAAUUUUCUUUGUUGCAAGCUUAGAAUGUUUUGCAGAAGUAACAUAAGCUUUAUAUGCCAAUUCAAGUUUGGGAAUAGCUAAGUAAAUAUCUGAGUUGUCCAAAUGGAGAAGACCUCUGGCCGCUCCCACUUGGUGUAAGCUCAGAAAUGAUGCUGCUCUCUCUCUCUCUCUCUCUCUCUCUCUCUCUCUCUCUCUCAGUGCAUGGGCAAACCACCAACCAGUGAUUUUUAUUUUACUUUAUUUCUGGUUAUGUACGAGCCACAUGAUUUGAGGCAUCAUUUAUUUCUGUAAUCCAAACAGUGUGAGUGGGGUGAGUUAAUGCACCAGAUUAAAUAUGUUUGGUUAGAAGUGUGUUCAAAUCACAUUUGCUACAUCAUACUGCAGUAAACCUUUAUAACAGCAGUCCAAAAGUCAGCUGUGAUUCCCGAGUGUGGCUUUAUGGCAUUCUCUACCACGGUUAACCUUUAAUUGCUGAGAGGUGAUAAAGUGGACAGCCAUCACUAUAUAUGUAAAUAAGUGACAUUUCAUUCCAUGCCUGCUCAUGUGUGACCUCAACAAUGUGCCCAGCAUGGAACAUGUCGGAGAUAUUGCUGGAAUAAAGGGGUCAGGAUCUCAAUUAACCUCGCUCAUUUAGGAGACAGCAUUCCUCUUACUCAUCAUUCCCUCAAGUCUGCUUGCAUGAGGGACAGACAUUGACAGACUCUGUCAAUGAUGAGCUUAAAUCCGAGUUUAAAACAACAGUCUUGUAAUCUGGUUGUCUUAUUAACCUGAGGUGCAGUAGGAACGCCAUCCAACCUCAAACAUUUUAACCUCAGACAGGUGUGCUAUUACUUUUCCAAACAAUCAGACAACACUUUGUCAUAAAACAAG